CCUGAUUGUGUACAUCUGGAAUUAUGGAAGCAAGCUGAAGUAUGAAACUGAAGUCAAGCAAAAGAUGUCUAUGGAUUUGUUGCGCGAAUUGGGCCCCAACCUUGGAACUAUAAGAGCUCCUGGAAUUGGCUUGCUUUACAAUGAACUAGCAAAGGGAAUUCCGGCCAUAUUUGGACAUUUUCUUACCACUCUACCUGCUGUGCAUUCGAUGAUCAUUUUUGUUUGUAUAAAGUAUGUUCCUGUUCCAGUCGUACCACAAAAUGAAAGGUUCCUGUUCCGGCGAGUCUGUCCCAGGAGCUACCACAUAUUCCGU
rnacentral:misc_RNA from 1 species